AGGGAUUGACUUUUUUACAGACAUAAGAAAGAGCAGUCGGGCAGACAGGACGUUUUUGUCUUAGACUCGAACUUUGCUAGGGUACUGAUGGUUCCCGCUAAAUGUGCUGACAAGAGAGACCUCCUUCAAUAAAAACGAGGCUGACAAGUUCACCAAACACCUUGAAGUUUGUGAAAAGGAAAUAAUACUCAUUCCAAUUUGCGAUAAUGUCCACUGGUUCCUAGCGGCAUUGUGCCCAAGAAAUAGGGCAGACUUACAAGAAUGUGGCGUACACACUGAAACGGUACUUCUUACCAAGAGUUUCAAGAGUUGUGCAAGAUAUUGCAGUCAGCUACCCUAAGGUUCCAAGACAAAACAAUGGAAUUGAUUGUGGUGUUUUCACAAUCUACUAUGGUUCUGAUCUGAUACAGGUGUGU